AUGGCCAUCUUCGACGAAUUCUUCGUCGGAGUGAUUGACCUUGGGUGCCUUAACUAUGGUAUCAUCUCGCUCAUCCCCAACGUUCUUGGGGCCUCCGACAUCCGCCAAUUCGGCCCCAUCACUAUCAUCAAUGUGAUUUUCCGAAUUCUGGCAAAAGGGUAUGCCAAUAGGGUAACCCUCCUUGCGGACCACAUUACUCACCCUAACCAAUCCUCCUUCAUCCAAGGGCGGUAUAUUCUGGAUGGGGUGCUUGUUCUUCAUGAAGUUCUCCAUGAGGUCCGAUCUAAACACCUCAAGGCGGUUUUCCUCAAGAUUGAUUUUCAUAAGGCGUAUGACACUGUUAGUUGGCCCUUCCUUCGGGAAGUC
rnacentral:rRNA from 1 species